AUUGAACGCUGGCGGCAGGCUUAACACAUGCAAGUCGAGCGGGGUGAUGGUGCUUGCACUAUCACUUAGCGGCGGACGGGUGAGUAAUGCUUAGGAAUCUGCCUAUUAGUGGGGGACAACAUCUCGAAAGGGAUGCUAAUACCGCAUACGUCCUACGGGAGAAAGCAGGGGAUCACUUGUGACCUUGCGCUAAUAGAUGGGCCUAAGUCGGAUUAGCUAGUUGGUGGGGUAAAGGCCUACCAAGGCGACGAUCUGGAGCGGGUCUGAGAGGAUGAUCCGCCACACUGGGACUGAGACACGGCCCAGACUCCUACGGGAGGCAGCAGUGGGGAAUAUUGGACAAUGGGGGGAACCCUGAUCCAGCCAUGCCGCGUGUGUGAAGAAGGCCUUAUGGUUGUAAAGCACUUUAAGCGAGGAGGAGGCUCUUUUGGUUAAUACCCAAGAUGAGUGGACGUUACUCGCAGAAUAAGCACCGGCUAACUCUGUGCCAGCCGCCGCAGUAA
rnacentral:rRNA from 1 species